AAAAAAUAAAAAAUGGACGUCGGUGGCGGAGCAGUUGCCGGCGACGGUGCUUCUUCUACUUCCUCCGCCGUGUCUCAGUGGACCUUCACCUUAUCACAGCGAUAUCAACACCUUCUGGAUAAAUCGACACCUCACAUCCUUUAUCGGUGGAUCUUCUUCGCUACGAUCGCUUUCAUCUUUGCUAUUCGCGUGUUCAUGGUUCAAGGUUUCUACAUCAUCACAUAUGCUUUAGGAAUCUACAUAAUCCAGCUCCUUAUUGCUUUCCUUUCCCCUCAAGUCGAUCCAGAAGUUGACGGUCCUACCCUUCCCACUCGCGGAUCCGAUGAGUUUCGCCCUUUCGUUCGUCGCCUUCCUGAAUUUAAAUUCUGGUACUCACUAUCAAAAGCAGUCUGCAUUGCUUUUGUGUUGACAUUCUUCAGUGCCUUUGAUGUGCCUGUAUUUUGGCCAAUUUUGUUAUUCUAUUGGUUGGUACUGUUUGUUUCAACGAUGAAGAGGCAAAUAAUGCACAUGGUCAAAUAUAAAUAUGUGCCCUUCACAUUUGGCAAGCAGCGUUACGGGAAGAAAGCACCAUCAACUGAUGAGAGAAGUGUUUCCAAACCUUGAGGUUCAAAGCGGAAUGAGCUUUUUAUGGUGGGGAAUGAAUUUGUUUUUGAUACAAAUUCGCCUAGAUGGCUGUAUUUUUCACCGGAUAGGUUUCUGAGCUUGGGUUAUGUCAUUGAAUAUAUGAUUAUCAAUGAGUUCUUAGAUUAUAAAACUUAGUUCUCCUAGAAGCUGCCACACAUCUUGAUUCUUUCGUUUAUCUGUAAGCUAGCCUCUGGAUGUCAAUAUUGAGCUCAUUCUUGAACCGCGCUCUUAUUCAAUUCAACCUUAGUAGUUUCUAACAGGUUGCACAUCCCUGUUGAAGUUCUUGUAUAAUUGUCAAUUACUGCUGCAUAUUAAUUUUU
rnacentral:misc_RNA from 1 species